GGAGUCAAGGAUGCCCGGGAGAAGCUUUUGCAGAAAGAUGCCCGAUUUCGAAUCAAAGGGAAAGUGCAGGAUGCCAGAGAGAUGUUGAACUCUCGCAAGCAGCAGACCACGGUGCCCCAGAAGCCCCGCCAGGUUGCUGAUGCCCGGGAGAAGAUCAGCUUGAAGAGGAGUUCCCCUGCUGCCUUCAUAAACCCACCCAUUGGGACAGUGACCCCUGCUCUGAAGCUCACCAAAACCAUCCAGGUUCCACAGCAGAAAGCCAUGGCACCACUUCAUCCCCAUCCUGCCGGAAUGAGAAUCAAUGUUGUCAAUAACCACCAGGCCAAACAGAAUUUAUAUGACCUGGAUGAAGAUGAUGAUGGUAUAGCUUCCGUUCCUACUAAACAGAUGAAGUUUGCAGCUUCAGGCGGCUUUCUCCACCACAUGGGACCAGGCCUUUCCAGUUAUUAGACUGCUCAAGUCUGCUAUCAAGGGAACUAUCAGCUUGCUCAGCUGGGCUAAGCAGUUCCAAGCUUUCCAUGUCCAAGGCCCUCCCUCUCACCAAAGUGGUUCAGAAUGAUGCAUACACAGCUCCUGCUCUCCCUUCCUCUAUUCGAACAAAAGCCUUGACCAACAUGUCCAGGACACUGGUGAACAAGGAAGAACCCCCCAAAGAGCUGCCAACUGCUGAGCCUGUUCUCAGCCCAUUGGAAGGCACCAAGAUGACUGUGAAUAAUCUGCACCCUCGAGUCACUGAGGAGGACAUUGUUGAGCUUUUCUGUGUGUGUGGGGCCCUCAAGCGAGCUCGACUGGUCCAUCCUGGGGUAGCGGAGGUGGUGUUUGUGAAAAAGGACGAUGCCAUCACCGCAUAUAAGAAGUACAACAACCGGUGUCUGGACGGGCAGCCGAUGAAGUGCAACCUUCACAUGAAUGGGAAUGUUAUCACCUCAGACCAGCCCAUCCUGCUGCGGCUGAGUGACAGCCCAUCAGUGAAAAAGGAGAGCGAGCUGCCUCGCAGGGUGAACUCUGCCUCCUCCUCCAACCCCCCU
rnacentral:sRNA from 1 species